rnacentral:lncRNA from 1 species
CCCAUUCUCUACACACCAGCUCCGACCAUCCCAACACACCAUGUAGGGUAUAAAACACCUACCCAGCCCUAAAAACUGCUUAGUGUCCAUACGACACUUUUCAAAAUAAUCAUAGCUAUGCUACCAGUAUAAUGGCGAGAUAUCGCCUCACAGAUAACACUUCCUCCACAUAAUACAUAUCCCGCCCCACAAUCAGACAUAAACAGUGAAUAACAGAUUUUCAGAUAUACAUAACUUACAUACUCGUAUAACAGAAACAGAACAUGCUUGGUACAUAAGAGAUUAUACAUGUUAGACGUUACAUCAUGAUUCACACUAUCAGACUAUCAGAUUUCUGCUUUCGCCGAUCACCGUUUUUUGAGUUUCUCGUUACACACCUUUAGCAGAGAUCCGCCACACGCUAGAAAAUGAAUAUCCCCAGACCUAAAUUGAAAAAUAAUACGAAUUAACGGUCGAAAAUUUUACUAAUCCAAACAAUCGAUAUAACAAAUCCCACACAACGAACCCAACAAUUGAAUGAACGAUCCCACAAACAACCACACACUCACGUUCAAAUGAACAGCAGCGUGAAACAACCUCAGUUCGUCGGAGCCCUCACCAACUCACGAAAUUUACCUAUACAAAAUACCCAUAAAAUUUAAUUUCACUUAUCUCUUCGCAACAACCCAAAACGAGAAGGAAAAAUCCCAAAGCUUAACCAAUAAAAGAAAUAAAUAAAUUAAAACCUUACUCAAUACCACAAACGACGCAUGAGUGUAACAACAGAAGAAAGAAAAAUAAAGAAUAAAAGGAUAACAAAUUGGCUUGGCCAAAGGAUCAAGAAGUGGUCAAAAUUGAAAAAAGAAAAGAAAAGACAAAGAAUUGGAUAGACAGAGUUAACAAAUGUGAAAAUAGAAAAACAAGGGAUAAUGGGAGAUUUUCUAUGAAUUUAAAUUAAAAAAAUAACCAAUUUUAAACCCCCUACUUACUAGUCAAAGUAGAAUUCCCCCACCUCCCACGACAUGAGAAAUAAAAAAAAUAAAAAAAAGAAAAAAAAAAACACCCCAAAUGCACCAGUGGAGACUUGAACACUGAACCCCAACACCC